GAUGAACGCUGGCGGCGUGCCUAAUACAUGCAAGUCGAGCGAACGGACGAGAAGCUUGCUUCUCUGAUGUUAGCGGCGGACGGGUGAGUAACACGUGGAUAACCUACCUAUAAGACUGGGAUAACUUCGGGAAACCGGAGCUAAUACCGGAUAAUAUUUUGAACCGCAUGGUUCAAAAGUGAAAGACGGUCUUGCUGUCACUUAUAGAUGGAUCCGCGCUGCAUUAGCUAGUUGGUAAGGUAACGGCUUACCAAGGCAACGAUGCAUAGCCGACCUGAGAGGGUGAUCGGCCACACUGGAGCUGGGACACGGUCCAGACUCCUACGGGAGGCAGCAGUAGGGAAUCUUCCGCAAUGGGCGAAAGCCUGACGGAGCAACGCCGCGUGAGUGAUGAAGGUCUUCGGAUCGUAAAACUCUGUUAUUAGGGAAGAACAUAUGUGUAAGUAACUGUGCACAGCUUGACGGUACCGAAUCAGAAAGCCACGGCUAACUACGUG
rnacentral:rRNA from 1 species